rnacentral:rRNA from 1 species
UGUAUAAUGGGUCAGCGACUUAUAUUCUGUAGCAAGGUUAACCGAAUAGGGGAGCCGAAGGGAAACCGAGUCUUAACUGGGCGUUAAGUUGCAGGGUAUAGACCCGAAACCCGGUGAUCUAGCCAUGGGCAGGUUGAAGGUUGGGUAACACUAACUGGAGGACCGAACCGACUAAUGUUGAAAAAUUAGCGGAUGACUUGUGGCUGGGGGUGAAAGGCCAAUCAAACCGGGAGAUAGCUGGUUCUCCCCGAAAGCUAUUUAGGUAGCGCCUCGUGAAUUCAUCUCCGGGGGUAGAGCACUGUUUCGGCAAGGGGGUCAUCCCGACUUACCAACCCGAUGCAAACUGCGAAUACCGGAGAAUGUUAUCACGGGAGACACACGGCGGGUGCUAACGUCCGUCGUGAAGAGGGAAACAACCCAGACCGCCAGCUAAGGUCCCAAAGUCAUGGUUAAGUGGGAAACGAUGUGGGAAGGCCCAGACAGCCAGGAUGUUGGCUUAGAAGCAGCCAUCAUUUAAAGAAAGCGUAAUAGCUCACUGGUCGAGUCGGCCUGCGCGGAAGAUGUAACGGGGCUAAACCAUGCACCGAAGCUGCGGCAGCGACACUAUGUGUUGUUGGGUAGGGGAGCGUUCUGUAAGCCUGUGAAGGUGUACUGUGAGGUAUGC